GACGAACGCUGGCGGCGUGCUUAACACAUGCAAGUCGAACGAAGUGGCGCACGGGUGAGUAACGCGUCAUCAACCUGCCCUUCAGAGGGGGACAACAGUUGGAAACGACUGCUAAUACCGCAUACUGAAGGAGGUGCUUGCGUCUGAUUGGCUCGUUGGAGGGGUAACGGCCCACAAAGGGGAUGAUCAGUAGCCGGGCUGAGGGGAUGAACGGGCAAAUUGGGAAUGAGAAAAGGCCCAGAAUCCUACGGGAGGCAGCAGUGGGGAAUUUUACGCAAUGGACGAAAGUCUGACGGAGCAACGCCGCGGGAGUGAUGAAGGCCUUCGGGUUGUAAAGCUCUGUUAAUCGGGACGCGGUACCGGAAGAGAAAGCCACGGCUAACUACGUGCCAGCCGCCGCGGUAAUAC
rnacentral:rRNA from 1 species